CUUCAGCGAUCCCAGCCAGAGCGGCUGGUCCGCAGGACGCUGACGGCCGUACGUCGCCAGCACCGCCUGCGCCUC
rnacentral:antisense_RNA from 1 species